rnacentral:rRNA from 1 species
ACCGUGAGGGAAAGAUGAAAAGCACUUUGGAAAGAGAGUUAAAAGUACGUGAAAUUGUUGAAAGGGAAACGCUUGAAGUCAGACGUGCAUACGUGCAGGCCAGCAUCGGUUGAGCGAGCCGGAUAAUAGCAAAGGAAGGUAGCGUUCUCGGACGUGUUAUAGCCUUUGACUGGAUACGGAGCGCUCGACCGUGGGACGCAGUGCGCCGCAAGGCAGAGGAUCCGUCCUCUUCGCACUUAGGAUGCUGGUGAAAUGGCUUUAAACGACCCGUCUUGAAACACGGACCAAGGAGUCUAACAUGCUUGCGAGUGUUCGAGUGAUCAAACUCGUGCGCGCAAUGAAAGUGAAUGGAGGUGGGAUCUUUCGAGAGCACCAUCGACCGGUCCAGAAUUUUAAUGAAGGAUCUGAGUAAAAGCAAGUAUGUUGGGACCCGAAAGAUGGUGAACUAUGCCCGAAUAGGGUGAAGCCAGAGGAAACUCUGGUGGAGGCUCGUAGCGGUUCUGACGU